rnacentral:lncRNA from 1 species
UGGAUGUUUUUGACAGAAAAAUUGAAAACAAGGGGUCAAAGUGAAAAUAGAAAAAGUUCAGCCAUGUAGGACCACCUAGUUAGCAGCUGCGAUGAACUGAAGCGCGCCGCAUCGCCAGACGUACUAACGUCGGUGCCACACGGGAGGUCAUGCUGGCAAUCCUCAUGCUCCUAGAUCGACAGCCCAGGAUCGAUCCCGCGCGCGUGGAUGGCUUGGAUUCAUGUCUACCUUAGGUGCAAUCGGACGAUU